AAAGAGAAGUGGGAUCUCGACGUCCCCUGCCCUAUGCCGCCACAAAAACUAUCUUUCCGAUCUAAGGAGUAGCAGAGUUUAAGAUGUCUGACCUGGUGUGGAGUCUUGGCAGGCCAAGGGUGGCGCACUCGCGCGGCAACCGUAGCAGUAUCACCCAGCCGUCGCUCGCCAAGAGAAGGGGCAAGGGAGGGAGAUGGAACGAGGCCGCCGACGCCGACCCCAGGAGCCAAGGGGGAAGGGUACUUCGUCUUGGUGCAACCGUGCCCUAGUCCAUCUGCCCUUGGAUUAUGGCCGGGCAGGCGCGCUCGGUCUCGUGCAAACCUGACCUGGGUCAGCCCGGCACGGCACCUCCAGGACUGGGUUAUACGGG
rnacentral:lncRNA from 1 species